rnacentral:lncRNA from 1 species
GCCAAGAUGAUUCCGAGGGUUGUUUUGUUUUUAGAAGAAAACUAUCCAUACAGAUAGGUUGGGAAUGGUCUAUGUUCAAAAUGAAAGAUCAUUACAGGCUCUUUAAUUUAAGCCAUAAAAGACCUUAUUCACUACGUGCACAUUAGCAUAUGCUACUUCCGGUAGCGUACUUCCUAUUGGCUGUCGAGCUUCCGGUAUCAACACGACUCGGCUGGAAUCCGGUAGCCCAAUGGCCGAAGCAAAUUUCUCAAGAUGUCUUGGACAUAUGCCGGCGAUAACAGUUGACGAUGUUCAUCGACUGGUCAGCAUAUUUUCACCCGCACCCCAAACCAAACGAGAAAAGGGGUUUAUACUGUAUCUAUCGCAAUAUUUGCACAAUUUUGAAGUGUCUGACAAAGAUCCGGGUUCAGGAGAGGUGAUGGUCAGGGCAGAGUGCUACAGGUCAAUGAGGAAAAGAUCUUAUGUUACUAAUGAUUAAGUUAAUUGUACAUGUUCAUUUGAAUGCUUUGUUUAUUGAAGGGCAAUCUCCUUUCUCUUUAUUUAAUUCCCCCCUAUCCCUUGAUUUAUCAAUAAAUGAUAACGUAUUCAAACAUUUUAUCAGUUGUCUCCCUCCUUUUUGUUGCACCUCUUUAACGAGCAAGGGUUCGUAACAGGCAGUGACACGUCAUGCUAACGCGAUCCAAGCAAAGUAUACAAAAAGUUGGACCACGUCACAAUUAUUCUGCUUGCUGUUGCUCUGUGGAUAUUGAACUUGUGACCAAGCUCCCUUUGUGUACAGCCGGUUGACAGGUAGUUGAGGAAGAGGAAGAGCUCGUCAAUUGGCAGCAGUUUCUAGGGAAAAUAGUCACUGUAUUAGAUACUGUAGAUAGAAGCACUACAACACAACGAUAACAUACACAAACUAGGGUGUUUAAAAUAUGUGGUGCAUGCACAGAGCUGAGCAGAAACAAUACACAGUUAACUGCCUCUUCUGUGGCAGUCACCAGCAAAAUGUGUGAUCCACAUGUACCGAGCCGGUGGUAUAUGUUUAUUGUAAAACUUACUGUUGGUCUGUUCAUAGGGGUCUCAGUGGAUGUACUGGUGGAGAGGUUCUUCUGACCACUGGUGACUCUCACCAUUCUGCUUGUUGCCUCUUGAAUUAGAUCCCAAAAGGCCAUCAAAUGUUCAUAUGAUGGAAAUCUGCAUGCAAACAGGACAUAGCUUUUAUGGUGAUGGCAUUCAUAUUACAUUAAAACAUUCCAAUUUAAUCAUCAUUCAAAUCAAUCAUACAGAUGGGAGGCAAGUGGAAUGCUUGUGUGAUAAUUAGAAAAGUUCAGGUUCAAAAUUUCUUACCUGGAAUAGUAGCGAAUGUCACUAGGUGAUGUAGAAAACCGUUGCAAUCCAAAUCUCUCCAUGUGCAGUGUUUCGAUUUGCCGUGUGAGCUCCUCGAUCUGCCUCGACAUGCUCUCAAAUUUCUCACGGUCGACCACGAUGAAAGAGCUGGCUGUGUAAUCGUGGUCUUCCAUCAGAGGUGUCGAAGCCAACUCAGUACAACCAGAGACAGUGUUUUCACCCAUUUCCAUUUCCACGGUGGUGUCAUCCUCGGGGGCGCCGUCCAAAGCCUGGGUUGCUUGAGGCCGGUGUUGUGUCGAGAUCUGUUUCCCCGUCGAGAUGUGUUUCCCCUAGUCCCAGAUAAUGACUGUCAGGAUGCGUUCCCCCUGUUCUAAAUGGUCAAAUUGAAUGAUAUCAGCCUGAAAAUCACAGCACUUAUCUGUUGUGGGGAAAUAAGUCAGCAGUAUGAAUUUGAAAGAUGUGUGAGCCUCCUUUCCUAUGGAACAGAGGGGGAACAGCAUCUGACAGUAAUAUUCCAAGCUGUCAGGAUGCGUUCGCCCUGUUCUAAAUGGUCAAAUUGAAUGAUAUCAGCCUGAAAAUCACAGCACUUAUCUGUUGUGGGGAAAUAAGUCAGCAGUAUGAAUUUGAAAGAUGUGUGAGCCUCCUUUCCUAUGGAACAGAGGGCCUUUUCGGGUAAUUUCGGACGGGGGCGGGGACUAGGGGAAACAGAUCUCGACGGGGAAACAGAUCUCGACACAACACCGGCGAUCCCAAACUCCGGGCCGUUGAGGUUUUUUUGAGUAAUUAUUCCAACCGAACAAGGAUGGAAUAAUAUUUGGUCGAAGACACCGCUUUCCAGGAGAAGAGAUAACUAUGUCGCUUGCUCAAAGUGUCGACUACACACUCUAGAGCUGGUGGUUGGGGUGAAACCUUCUCUUCUGACUUUCACAAGCCACUGGGCGCGUAAAUUAGGUUCAUUUGGGAAACUAUGAAAGCUCAAAACUUUGUUGAAUCUCCCCCCGGCAGUACAAAGUGCCACACAACAAUGGUGGUUAUUACCACCGACUGCCCUUUGAAAAGUAAAUCGUUUUUUCCGAUCCAUUGCGAACAAUAACAUCACACAGCCAGCCGGCUAAUGUCAACAAACCGCCAAGCGGAAGCUAGAGGCUCAACUUCCGCCCUCAAACAGGAAGUUAGCAUUUUCGUCGUGCACAGAGUGAAUUGCUGUAGAUAGCGUAUUGUGUGACGUAAUCAGCAGACGACGGACCCCGAGCCGAUCUGGUAGCCGAGCCAAUAUGGCACUUACACCGGCCCUCUUGACUUAUUCUUCCUCUCUACUCUUCCUAUCGCGCUCUCUUUCUUUGCCUGCUUUCAACGAGAGAAGAGGUCCCUCUGGAAUCAUCUCGAAGGUGCGGGUGUUCUUUGGUAAUCGAGUUUGAUAUAUAUUUCGUUCCAGAUCAUUUUACUCACCGUUUGAUUUUUAUUUAUAAAUGAAAUAGACUUUUUAAAGUUUAUUGGUAGGCCUAGAGCAAACCUUACCUGCGCGAACAACCAACGAUUAUAUUGCGAGCACUAGCCUACUCUGC